GGGGAAUUGGCUCAAUUGGUAGAGCGUUGCUUAGCAUGCGAGAGGUAGCGGGAUCGAUGCCUGCAUUCGCCA
rnacentral:tRNA from 1 species